CCCCAUUAUUCCCCAUUCUCCAUUAUUCCCCAUUCCCCAUUCCCAUUCCCCAUUAUUCCCCAUUAUUCCCCAUUCCUGGCUCCACCUGUGGUUCCUGGGGAAGCUCUGGAGCCACCCAGGGGCACAAGGGACAGAGCCCAGCGCCCCCCAGCAGGACAGGGACCCGCUCCCUCCCUCGCCCGGGGGACAUCCCGCGAUUCAGGGCCAUUUCUGAGGCCAUCGGGGUCCCUGAGGGGCAGCUGAUCCCGGGGCUGGGGCCGGGAGGAGCCCUCGGUGCCCGAGCUCAGAGCUCCGGGAGGCUCCAGGUGAAGGUGCCACGGUCUGGGCAGCGGGGACAAGCCUGGGAGCAGCACGGGGACAGCACGGGGACAGCACGGAGUGUCAGGGGGACAGCAGGGAGUGUCACCAGAGUGUCACAGCCCCUGCCCAGGGACAGCACAGAGUGUCACCAGUGUCACAGCCCCUGCCCGGGACAGCAGGGAGUGUCACAGCCCCUGCUCAGGGACAGCAGGGGUACAGUGUCACAGCCCUGCCCGGGACAGCACAGAGUGUCACUGGA
rnacentral:lncRNA from 14 species